CAGCUUUGUUUCAGCUGUACAUGUUGCCAACCAGCCUGGCUGGAGCAAGAGUUUCAGAGUGGUCAUCAUCCAGCACAACUUGUAAGUCAACAUCGAUCAGAAGUCCUAGAGUUGUUCAGAAAAACAUCUACAGUUCCCAGGCAACUGAGCAAACUCCAUCUGCUGAUGCAGGCCGUGUGAUAUUGUAAAAAUCUCCAGAAUGAGGCUGCAGACCUGAUUGGCAGGGUAAUCAGCGGCAUGGGACACACCUGGGCCUGGUGUGCCCCAUGCAUAUAAGCCAGAGCAGCAGUCAGUCUUGGUUUGGACCUCCUCCUCUCACAGCUUUCUUUGUUUGUUUUGUUUCUUUCUUUGUUUUUACAGCACAACAUCCAUGCAGCACAUUUUCACUCAUCCUCUCCCUACACUGCUGAAUUUACAGAUUCUUCCUACUCAUUGGUUUUGCUUAUUUUCUUAUUAAUAAAUCACUUUGUUAUUUAGUUUACCCGUGUGUCUCCCGUUUUUGUCCAGUCCAUGAGCCGGGCUGUGACAGCAUCUGCAUCUUUUCAGCUCUUGUAGCUCACACCAACCUCUGCCAUGAUACCCAUAGACUUCCUGCCUGGGCAACAGAAAGCGCCCCGCGCUCGGAGUGGCAAUGACAGGGACGCCACUCACCUUAUUACAAGGAGGGGCUGCAAGUUUGACCUUUUAAGUGUUUGAAUAGGCGAGACAAUAAAGAUAUCGGGUUCCUUCUUGGUGAAUCUCCAAGACACUACAAUGAGCACACUCAUCCUGCUUCAUCUCCCACUAAGUCGUUUACAACUCUGUCAAAUAAAGCUAUGACAGGAUGUGCCAGGAGUCUCACUGUAGCUACUGCAACAGUUUACAAGAGACAGAGAGGCAAAUUAGAGUAAUAAACUCUGACUGCAGCAAAGUCCACUCACAGUAUAGUAAGGUGUUUGUAGGUCUCCGGUGUGUUUUCAGUCUGUAUGAGUCCAUUUAGUGUGUAAGCUUUGUUUGCAUUUUUCAUGUGUUGAAUACAUUUCUUGUUCAAAAAGAUGACUCUGUUCUUUAGUGAAUUUCAUCCUCCUGUUCAAACACUUACAUAAGAAUCAGUGGUGAUCUGAAAUGUAAAUAAUAAAAACAAUUUGAAGAGCAA